rnacentral:rRNA from 1 species
GUCCAGACUCCUACGGGAGGCAGCAGUGGGGGAUAUUGCACAAUGGGGGGAACCCUGAUGCAGCGACGCCGCGUGGGUGAAGGAGUAUUUCGGUAUGUAAAGCCCUAUCGGCAGGGAAGAAGCAAGACGGUACCUGACUAAGAAGCCCCGGCUAACUACGUGCCAGCAGCCGCGGUAAUACGUAGGGGGGGAGCGUUAUCCGGAUUCACUGGGUGUAAAGGGAGCGUAGACGGCCAAGCAAGCCAGGGGUGAAAGCCCGGGGCCCAACCCCGGGACUGCAUUUGGAACUGUGUGGCUGGAGUGUCGGAGAGGCAGGCGGAAUUCCUAGUGUAGCGGUGAAAUGCGUAGAUAUCAGGAGGAACACCGGCGGCGAAGGCGGCCUGCUGGACCGUAACUGACGUUGAGGCUCGAAAGCGUGGGGAGCAAACAGGAUUAGAUACCCGUGUA